GACGAACGCUGGCGGCGUGCCUAAUACAUGCAAGUAGAACGCUGAAGGAGGAGCUUGCUUCUCUGGAUGAGUUGCGAACGGGUGAGUAACGCGUAGGUAACCUGCCUGGUAGCGGGGGAUAACUAUUGGAAACGAUAGCUAAUACCGCAUAAGAGUAGAUGUUGCAUGACAUUUGCUUAAAAGGUGCAAUUGCAUCACUACCAGAUGGACCUGCGUUGUAUUAGCUAGUUGGUGAGGUAACGGCUCACCAAGGCGACGAUACAUAGCCGACCUGAGAGGGUGAUCGGCCACACUGGGACUGAGACACGGCCCAGACUCCUACGGGAGGCAGCAGUAGGGAAUCUUCGGCAAUGGACGGAAGUCUGACCGAGCAACGCUGCGUGAGUGAAGAAGGUUUUCGGAUCGUAAAGCUCUGUUGUAAGAGAAGAACGAGUGUGAGAGUGGAAAGUUCACACUGUGACGGUAUCUUACCAGAAAGGGACGGCUAACUACGUG
rnacentral:rRNA from 1 species